rnacentral:misc_RNA from 1 species
GAAAACGUGUUGCCGGGGCAAAUCCCGGCACUAACCUUCUUAUCCAUAACACCUGUGCACUGUUGGAUGCUUGCAUCCACUUUUAUACUAAACAAUUUGUAACAAAUGUAGUCUUAUUAUAAUUAAUAAAACUUUUAACAACGGAUCUCUUGGCUCU